UACGGACCGGACAAACGUUAUUCGGAAUCACUGGGCUUAAAGAGUACGUAGGCGGCUCAGAAAGUUGGAUGUGAAAUCCCUCGGCUCAACCGAGGAAUUGCGUUCAAAACUACUGGGCUUGAGGAAGGUAGGGGUGAGCGGAACUGAUGGUGGAGCGGUGAAAUGCGUUGAUAUCAUCAGGAACACCAGUGGCGAAGGCGGCUCACUGGGCCUUUUCUGACGCUGAGGUACGAAAGCUAGGGUAGCGAACGGG
rnacentral:rRNA from 1 species